CUGUCAACGUGAGAACAGCUGUCACCGUUAUAACCAGAGCUGUCCACUUUGUGGCUUUUGUGUGGGCUCGGCUGUGGUAGGGCGGUGGAACCGGUGCUGAUAAAGAAAAUACAAGGUGCAAGGAACAAGGAAGAAGGAAGAAGGGUGAAGGGUGAAGGCGGAGGAACAAAAGUUCUUGGCAGCGAGGGAGGCUGGGAUGGAAAGAUGUCCCUACAGAGCAGAGUUCUGAAACUGUGCAAACUGGGAUGUAACCAGAGCAGAGAUAUGUACAUCUUAAAGCGAUAGAAAUGUUGACAGUUUUUGGAUUUGCAUCAGGGUUAAAGACAAAACAGAUGGCAAAUGCUAGUGCUAAAUAUUUAAUAAAUGCAACAAGCGCUUUGGAUAUUAAAUUUAAUUACGGAAUAGCCCCCAUGUCUGUGAUUGCUACACCAAUGCCAGCCCAGAUAUAACGCCCAGCGUAAUUACCCUGUCAAUCUCCAUCUGCAUUUGCACAGCUCCAUAUCCAUCGAUUGCCAUUUAAUGCCGUGUCUUUGUUCAAUACACAAUCCAAUCCCAAUAACUGCAAUCAAAUUGCAAAUGAAUUGUUUAUAAUGUGACAAAAGUGGCCCAAUAUGCCUGUCAGGUGGAUGUCAAAUGCACACCUGGAAUUCGCUUGAAUUAAUUUUCAUACUCAACGCCUCUGCUGCUGCUUCAGCUUCUGAUUCUGCCAGCGGCCUCAGUCACUGCCACAGACAGCGCAGCGACAACAUAAAACGCAGCUGGGGCCGCCACUCUACACUUAUACCACUACAUUUACUUUGCUUAGUACAACAGCAAACAUGACGUCAUAGCGCUCUCAGUAGUGCUGUUGAGCUAGCGGACCACCUUGCACAUUUUAAUCAUUCGCAAAAGUAGCGGAGAGAGCGUGGGAGAGAGAGCAAAUGGGAAGAGGAGAUCGAAGAACGAAUGCUUUAGCGCCGCUCUCACUCCAAUUUUUUCACCCGGAACAAGCGCCCGUCGGCAAAUCAGCUCCGCGUUUUAUUCCCUGAAAAUGCGGAAAAUGGUGGAAAAUCCAAUGGGAAAAAUCUGGCGCAGGUGUGUGAAGUAAAGCUUAGUGUAUUGGUGCAGUGAUUAUGUACAACAAAGUGUGUUUUGGUGGAAGAAAAUGUGUUUGAUCAAAGGCGAGGGCGCAGAAAAAGGCAAAUGGCGAAAAAAAGCAGAUCUACGAAGGAAAAGUGCAGUAAUUUGUGAUAUUGUACAUAUGUAUGUAUGUUCAUAUGUAUGUAUGUGUAUAUAUUUGAUAUGUGAUAUAUGAAUAUGUUGACAAACAAAUUAUUUUUGCAUAAAUUCUUUUUUUUUCAUGUGUAGAAAUAAACAAUGCGUUAUUUUGCCGUUUUCUCACUUUUUUUCGUUUUCGCAAAAGCACCCGAAUAGAGCGUGGGAGAGAGAGCAAAUAGGAAGAGGAGCAGAAGAUCGAAGAACGAACGCAUUAGCGCCGCUCUCACUCCAAUUUUUUCACCCGGCACAUGCGCCCGUCGGCAAAUCAGCUCCGCGUUUCUAUCCCUGAAAAUGCGGAAAAUGGUGAAAAAUCCAAUCGGAAAUAUGUUGCUGGUGUGUGAAAUAAAGUUUGCUGUAGUGAUUAGAUAUAAAUGUGCAAAAAAUGUGUGUGCAAUGCAAGAAAAUGUGUUAAAUCAAGGGCGGUGGCGCAAGAUGGCCACAAAAAGGCAGCUCGACGGAGGAAAAGUGCGGCAAAGUGUGAUACAGAAAAGACGCGAAGUUAUGUCCCUUUCGCACUCAUCAUGAAAUAUCGCAGUGAAGAAGAGCAUCAAAACGGAAUGUGAGAGCGUUCAAAGGGAAGCUCAUUUUGGCGUGAGAGGCAUUCCAAAUACUGCAGAUCUGACUCUCUCCCGCUUCGAGCAUCAGCUUCCACCCUCUAAUUCCUGUAAUGCAAUAGAAUGAAGAGAGCGAAGCAAGUUCUUUCAAUUUCAUCUUUCUUUCGUUAAGGAAACGAUACCCUAUAAAGUACCCCCUAAAAAACGAAAAGCUGCUAAACAGGUAAGCAUACAAUUUUUAAGAGCAUCCAAUCAUCAGCGUUUUAUGCCCCAGCAAACAUUUUGCCACUUGUUUAAUUUUCAAUUAUAAAUUCAUAUAAAUUCAAUGCCCGACGCUGGCCAUUAUCCCACUCAUCCAGACACCGGCCCCGGCCCAGGCUACACCUGGAAAAGCCUGCCCCAUGGCCCUCGGGGCGGACACAAUGGUGGGCUUAUGGGGCCAGAGCCGCCAUUAUGUUGCCGCCUGAGUCGCCUAGAUUUCUGCUGCUGCGGCCCGGUCGAAACGUGUUCAAUAAUUUUGUCAAUAAAAUGUCAGAGCAGAGCAGCGAGAGGCAUCAUCGUAGUUGUGUUUGCCCCACACAAAA